rnacentral:lncRNA from 1 species
UGCAACAAAGGUCGAGGUCUAAUCAGCACCACUGCCCUGCACAAUAUCCCUUCCUUUGUCAUGCAAAGGCUUCCUGAACGACAAAUCCUAGCUAAAAGCAGCAGAAACUAGCCAUAAGAGUUGGAUCGAGGAUCCUCUCUUCCUCCGGACAUGCGCUGUGACCUCCUCGAGCCUAUUGGCCGCCGUAACGUGAUCCGGCCGGAGCUGCAACUGUCACAUAACCCCACCUUGAUUGCUGCUGGUUCGACAAGCAUACAAGUCUCACAUGAUCCCGGACCACACUGUCUUCAAAGCUAAGCAGCUGGAGCAGUACACCAUGGCUGAGUUGCAGUGAGGGAGAAAGCGUUCCCCCCAUCCGAUUCCCAUGAAAGCACGGGAGCAUAAAGAUAGACCAUGUGAGACUGCUUGAAUCAAACAUGCAAGAUGCGUCAUUGGCUGUGCUAAUGAUUGUGAGCUGGUUUCGUAGAUAGAGGUGAGGCGGGGGCAGCCGGCCACACAGAUCAUGUGGGGAGGCCUCAGGCAGUGAGGACAGGAGUA